rnacentral:rRNA from 1 species
CUACGGAGGGUGCAAGCGUUAAUCGGAAUUACUGGGCGUAAAGCGCGCGUAGGCGGAUAUUUAAGUCUCAUGUGAAAGCCCUGGGCUCAACCUGGGAACUGCAUGGGAUACUGGGUAUCUAGAAUACAGUAGAGGGUAGUGGAAUUUCAGGUGUAGCGGUGAAAUGCGUAGAGAUCUGAAGGAACAUCAGUGGCGAAGGCGACUACCUGGACUGAUAUUGACGCUGAGGUGCGAAAGCGUGGGGAGCAAACGGGAUUAGAAACCCUAGUAGUCC